UGGGGAAUUUUGGACAAUGGGCGAAAGCCUGAUCCAGCAAUGCCGCGUGUGUGAAGAAGGCCUUCGGGUUGUAAAGCACUUUUGUCCGGAAAGAAAUCCUUGGCUCUAAUACAGUCGGGGGAUGACGGUACCGGAAGAAUAAGCACCGGCUAACUACGUGCCAGCAGCCGCGGUAAUACGUAGGGUGCAAGCGUUAAUCGGAAUUACUGGGCGUAAAGCGUGCGCAGGCGGUUUGCUAAGACCGAUGUGAAAUCCCCGGGCUCAACCUGGGAACUGCAUUGGUGACUGGCAGGCUAGAGUAUGGCAGAGGGGGGUAGAAUUCCACGUGUAGCAGUGAAAUGCGUAGAGAUGUGGAGAUACCGAUGGCGAAGGCCAGCCCCAUGGCAUACUGACGCUCAUGCACGAAAGCGUGGGGAGCAAACAGGAUUAGAUACCCUGGUAGUCCACGCCCUAAACGAUGUCAACUAGUUGUUGGGGAUUCAUUUCCUUAGUAACGUAGCUAACGCGUGAAGUUGACCGCCUGGGGAGUACGGUCGCAAGAUUAAAACUCAAAGGAAUUGACGGGGUCAUAGCUGUUU
rnacentral:rRNA from 1 species